GUCUCUAAAGCCUGAUGGUAUUUUCUAGCAAGUUUCACUCUUCCACCAUGGCCUGCCCCAAGAGUUUCAAGGGUGUUCUGAACAUCAACUUUGACUCCAUCGAUACCAGCUGAUGCAAGGUACGAGUGAAGUUCAUCAUCGAAGUUAAACACUUUUUCGGGGUUAACAAGGCCAAGGCCAUUCUUAAUUAUGCUGUCCAAAGCUUGAUCAGGCUCAUUUGACUGAACUCCAGGAGAUGAAAUAGGGUAUGCCAAUUUGGAUUCGUAGUGUUCCAUUUCAGUAACAUCUAGUCUAAAACCUCCCCAGCACCCUGUUAUUGCAUGCCAACAUACUUCAAAGCAUGUUUUUCUUUAAUUUCAGUGACAAUGUGGCGCAGCCCCAAAGCUGGAUCCUCUACUCUGUGAUCCUCUUUGCCAUCUUUCUGAAAUUUAUGGUUCUCUUUGAUAUGUGUCAAUCUGUUGGCAAAGCUGGAACAUAAUAUUAAAGCCAAUAUAGCAAGACCUUUCAGCCAAUGGAAGGAAGCAUAUCAAGAAUAACAAGAGAAUUCUAGUUAAAUGCUUACUUGGCAGCAUUAUCAGUUUUCAAUUCAGUUCCAUCUGCAUCCAUUCCAACAGAUUGCCACCUAUCAUCGAUAAUACAAAUUUCGGAGGAAUCCCACCUUUCUCCAAGCUGCAAGAGUUACUAGUUAAUUGCUUAUCUUAUCUCUUAAUGCCAUAAAUCUAAUCAGUGAUGGACUUAGGAUUUUUUCGGAGGUGUUCACUCAUAAUAUAUAUAGAACAUUAUCAAUAGAUUUAUCAAUUUAUUGACGAAAAAAAUGUUCAUGGAAAAAUUUUGAGGUGUCACGGACACCCUACCCAUACAUACGGAUCUGCCUCUAAACAUAAUAGCACCCUAAAAAGAAGAAAUUACCUCCCCAAUCCUUCUUUUAGACUCUCAGAAGUGACAUUGGUGUAGAAAGCAUCCCAUGUACACCAGCCAAACCAGUUCAACAUGCCUGGCAUCUGAACAAUAAAGAAUGAUUGUAGAAUAUAAUUCAUGUAUUAAGAAUGGAGAUGACACAAUUCUAACUCUAGCAACAGAAAAUUACUUUGAAGAAAGGCGUACCUUCUUUCUCUCACGAUGAGAAAACGUCCGUAAAUGCCUUUCCACAGACCUGCAUACAAUUUCCAUUAUAACUUAGCUGACAAUUUCAGAUUAGACAUGAGACAAUGUGUCCCAAGAAAAGCUAUGAUUGUAAAACUUGAAGAAAUAUAUGCUAAUGAGUAAAUUACAGUCAUGCAGUUGCAACAAAUACAAAGAGAAAGGACCUUGGCUAAAGUACAGACUACUUUCAGUACAUGUAAAGCGAACCUGGUAAUUCGUGUAUCCGUUUUCUGUUUGUUUUUGUCUAACACGUGUAAAACACGAAAUUGCUGUGUCACAAUUUGUGUUAACAUAUAAACUCGAAACACAUUUCCAAACCCAUAUACUCCGAAACUUGUGUCUUUUUUCGUAAUUUUCAUGUCGUGUUUAAAAUUAUUAGGUUAACGUAAGAAUGCUAUCAGUGGCAAUUGUUCUGAAACUUCGCUGCAUUGGUGAUGACAUCAAAUGGAUCUGAUCCAGCAGCCACAAAAACCGAAUGACUCCCCUCAAACUCAUCAACAGCAGGAUCUCCUGCAAUGUACCAAUAAUCCCAUGAGUUCAAUAAGGACAACCAAAAUGUUUAAAAGAAUACUAAGUUUGAGUUAAUGUCUUGUUUCUCCUCUUACCACUUUCCAAACAAAUAUCCAACUCAUUUCUUUCAUUGCCUUGAAGAACAGCUCUGAAAUCCCCUUCAAGAAUUGGUAAAAAAACAGCAUAUAUAGCAGAAUCGUUUUCAUUUCCCGUGCCAAAAUGAGAGCCAUCACGUGCUUCUACAAUCAAAAACUGGGUUUCAAAGGGGAUAUCUUGACCACAAUUCCCCAUCCUCCGUGUCAUCCACCACAUUUUGAACCGGAAACACACAUGAAACGCAAUCCCCUUCCAAAAAAAAAAAAAAACCAUAUAUACCAGCACAGUGAAAGCAAAACAAAACAAAGUCCUAUAAUUUCCAACAACCAGAUUAUCAAAGACACCUGAUUGACUGUCAGAAAAUAACAAAGAGAACGAACUAGAUGAAGCUAAAUUCUGCAUAUGAUCAUUAGUGUCAGAUCCAUAGAAAUCAAACUGAAAAUUAUACAGAGAAGGAAAUAACAAGAAGGGAGAUGAAUUGCAAGUUCUCUUUUCUAUGAAUAUUCUUUCAGAAAUCAAACUGAAAAGUGUUAAGAACAAAGAAGAUAUGAUGAGUCGCACUCAAGCUUGUCAACGGGAAAGACCCUGCGGUUUCCCAUCCGAUCUGAACCAACUCCAAUGAAAGCUCCAUUAGCCAAUGAGCCACCAGAUGCUGGAGCCACCACGAUGUUGUCAGGAGCAUCACGUAGAAUGCAGUUCCCCAACACCAUUAACUUCCAAUCAUCACUCACAGAAAUCCCAGCCCCCACAGUCAUCUUCUUCUUGCUCUUUUCAACCAACAAAACCAAAAAUUUCAAUAAAAAACAAAGCUUUCCUCUCCACCAACAAUCAAACAAAAACAACCCCAGAAGCAACUUCGCUUCAAAAACCUCACCAAAACAAUAUAGAUGGACCUCAAUGAACUUGGGGGGCUAUUUACAAUCCAGCAAAACAAGAAAUAAGAUGAUGAUUGAUGCAGCUUUACUAUAUUUAUGUCAUAUUUUGCGUGAAAUUGCCAUCUAGUGGCUGCGUGAUCCAAGAGUAAAGUGAUGAGUUAUGAGUUAUUGUUUCAUACGGCAAUCAGAAUGGCAUUGAAUUCAACUUUUUCGUGUUGUCAUGUCUCAUAUGUACGGUACCUUGUGGUUAAGGUUUUCUUUUACAAUUUGGCAAUUUUUGGCGUCAAUACUUUGGUACCAAAUAUUGCAUGUGACACUCCCGUGCUACCAACCAAUCAUAAAUCUUUCGGGUUUAAAUUUGGAAUAUAAAUGAUUUAUAAGUCUUUAUAAAUUAUUCGGAUUUAAUUCGAAUAAAAUUUUAAUUCGAUUUAAUUAUUAUCGAAUUGAAUUCGAAUCUAAAUUCAAGUAAUUUAAUUUAUUGAUCGAAUUAAAUUUAAGCAUUUUUAUACUCGAUUCGAAUUAUUCGUAAGUCUAAUCGAGUUUUUAUUUUUUAAUUAUUUUAAUUGAUAAAAUAUCUUAAAUUCGAGUUCGAGUACAAAUAAUUGAGUUUUUGUUAAAUAUAAAAAUUGAGUUUAUUUUUAUAUGUGAAUUGAAUAUAAUCGAACGAGUUUGAAUAAUUUAAUUUUUAUCUCGAGUUAAAUUCAAACCAAACAAGUAAAAUCUGAUCAAAUUUGAACUGAGUUUCGAACAUUAAAUUUGAAAUCGAAUUUUAGCUAAUAUUGUAUCGAUUCAAAUUCGAUCGAUUACACUCUUAAUUUAAAUGAGAUAUCAUACAAGUUAUUGAGUUAUUCCAAUUUAAAUUUGAUAAAAUUUAAAUUGAAUUGUCGAAUGAAUUAAAUUUAAAUAUUUUAAUGUUUAAUUCAAAUAUUUUAUACAUAUAAUCAAAAUUUUAUAUUUUAAUAUAUAUUUUUUAUUAUUUUAAUUAAAAUAUUAUUAUUUUAUUUUAAUAUUUUUAUUAUUUUAAUUAAAAUAGUUUUGAGUUUGACAGCUAAGAUUGCGUAGUGACGUGUUUGGAGGGGAAUACGUGUAUCCAACGUGGAAUUUGUUGUGAAAUUAGGUUUGAAAAAGUAAUUAACAAAAGCAAACACGUGUGGCCACGUAGAUUACAUACAAAACUCAGCUCAGAUUGUACUUAGCAUUUGUAUUUUUUUUUAUUGGUUCGUCAGUUUCUUUUGUGGAUUGUCACAACAUUCAAGGAUCUGGAUUAUUGUAAAUGAACUAUUAUUAGCUUCAUCAUAAUUAUUAUUUAUAUAAUUAAUUAAUGUAUAAAUCAAUAAUAAUAAUAAUAAUAAUAAUAAUAAUAGUCUAUUAUCCAUUUUAGGAUUACUUAGCAUGUUUUUUUAAGAGUUUUGCCAUGAAAAAAUAAAUGGCAAAUUUUUAUUUGAUAAAAUUAUAGUAUGAUGUAAAUUUAAUAAUUUAUAUAUUUAUUUUUAUUUAUUUUAUAUUUAAUAUAUAUAAAAUAUCAAAAUUAUCAUCUUAUAAUUCAUAUUAAUACGUUAAAUAUAAAAUAUUUUUUAUUUUAAUCAAAUGUAUAUAUAAUUUUUUAUAAAAUUUUAAAUCAUUUCAUAUUUAAAAUUAUCAAAUCUAAACUAACAAAAAAAUUAUUAUAUGUGUUGCAAUAAAGGCACUUGAAUCCUUGGAUUUGAAUGGUUAAGAACAUUAAGAAAAAAGGCUGCUAUGAGAAAACCGGCAGGUCCAACCGAAAUUCUUCAGUUCAAUCAAGGUUGCCUUUUUCUCUCGUUUCUGUCCAACCAAUCAUUGAAUUUACUGUUAGUAUUAUAUGAUACAACUUUAUUAGAGAAAACAUUCAGCUCUUACUUUAUGAUAGAAUCAUUGACAUCAUAUAUAAUGUCAAAAAGGAAAAAAAUAUUUUUAUGAUAAAUUCAUACCUACAAAAAAAAAAAAAUGAUUCAGGGAACGUCGACAAGCAGAGAAUGUGGAAUGGCUGCCAACAAAUGCAUGUGAAAUAUAUUUGUUAAUUUUAUUUUGGUAUCAAUUGAUAUGUUUUAAUUAUAUCAAAAUAUGAUAUAUUUAAAAAUAAUUUUUUAUAUCAAAUUUGAUAUUGAGUAAUAGUAAUUAUUUUUAUUAAUUUUAAUUUAUUUUGAUAAAUUUCAGUAAAAUAACAUGUUUUGAUCGAUUCGUUAAUAUGAAAUAUAUUUUAUAAUUUUUAAUUUAUUUUUUAUUAUUUAAUUAUUUUUAACCUAAUAAAAAUAAAAUUAAUUGAUAAAAUAAUCUUUAAAAAUUAAAUUUCUCUUUUUUUAUUAUUUUAACUUGUUUUUAUAUUUUAUUUUUUCAAACUAAAGUUUAUAAGUAUUUUAGUUUUUUUCAAAAAAAAUAAUUAUAUUCCUUUUAUAUAGUUUAACAAUCAUAAAAUUUUGAUUAAUUUUUUAUCACUUUAUUUUUAUCUUAAUAAUUAUAUAAAAAAUAUUUAUUUAAAUAUCAUAUGAUCGGAUUAAAUAUUUAAAAAAUAUUAUAAAAAAUAUUAUAUUAUUUUUUAAAAUAUUAAAUUUAUUUAUUUGAUUUGAAUAUAUUAUAUAUUUGUUUUGUAACUUAUUAAUAAUAUUAUAAUAUAUAAAUUUAUAUAUUUGUAAAUAUAUUUAUAUUACAUAAAAAAUCUAAAAUAAUAUUUCAAAAUAACUUAUACUUAUAAAUAUUAUAUUUUUUAGAAAAACGAAUAAGAUGUUAACAAUUUUAAUGUGAAAGUUGUUAGCCGUCCUAUCUAUAGGGUGAUGUGUCAUUUAUGUGACAGUUCGUAGCUCUGCAGGCGGCAGCUUUGCUGAAACACUCCUCUCCAAUUAAUAGCAUAUAUGAUGUGUUAUUAAUAGCAUAAAUAAAUACAUCAACAACAUAUUUUCGUGCGGAUGUCAUGUGAGGCUCCGGAUUUGAAGAAAAACAAAAGCCAGCAGUACUUUCUAUCUUGUUAUUUUUAAUGAUUUGAUUAAUAUUUUUCAGAGAAUACAGGCAAAGUACAAUCCUGGAAUGUUUUGUAAGUUGUGCUUCUAGUGUUGUUGGUUAAAUUUUCCAUUGAGGGGCAUGGUAAAGUUUUCUGUAUUGAAAUUUUAAUCUUAUGUUGGAUAUAAGUAAUUAAAAUUUAAAGUUUGUAAAUAAAAUAUUAAAAUUUAGUUUUUUAUAAUUUUUUAUUGAUAAAUUAUUUAUAAAUUUAAAAAAUAUUAAAAAAUUCAUAAUUAAUUUUAUAAAUUAAAGACUUGCUUGACUUUGAUUAAUAGAAAAAAUUAUAAAAUUUUUAAGUUAAAAUGAAUAAUGUAUCAAUUAAGUAUAGGUUUUCACAUAAUAUAAAAUUUUAUCAUUGAAUUAUAUUAUUUUUAAUGAUAUUUAAAAAAAAAUUCAAUAUCUAAACUUUUUUCUCAAAUAUUUUACAGUAUUGAUUAAUCUAGUUAGUAAAAAUUAUAUAUAAAUUUAACAACAAAGAUAUAUAUAUUUUAUAUGAAUGAAUGGUAACAUAAUAAUUUUUAUAUUUUAUAUAUAUUAAAACAUUAAAAUUAUUUUAAAAUUAUUUUCAUUUAAUGACUUAAAUUAAUUUAAUAAUCAAUUAAUUAGUUUAAUUAAUUAAUUAAUUAAUUCGAUUAAAACUAAAUUGUGAAUACUUUUGGUUUUUUUCUUUUGAUAUGAAAAGUGAUGUCUUGAACUUUACUCAAUGUGUUAAACUAAAGAAAGACGUUGAUGGAGAGUCCAAAGUAAUGAUGCUUGACUUGGAGGCAUAACAUGAUUAAUUGCCUUCUACCAUCAAUGUAGAUUAAUGCAUUAUUAAGGAUGAGAGCGAAAAUUUUUGUCAUUGCUUUUUAGAACAAGGAGAGAGCAAUUUUUAAAUCAAAGACAUAACUAUCUACUUAAAAUGAUAUUAAGGAAUGUAAAACAUCGUUUUAUAUUUGUCUUAUAGAUAUAUACUUAAUUGCCAAAAUCCUACAUUGAGAUUGAACUUGGAGAUGACUUUAGCUUGUGACAGGUUUACAAAUAAUGAUUUUUUGUUUGAAAAAAAAAACUUAUCAUUUGUAAGAAAAGCAUUAAGUGGCUUAUAAUUAAUUACCAAUCUUAAUUUUUUACGAACUUAUUUUAAAAUUUUGUUGACAUAAAAUGCCUCACAUGCUCAUAGAAAAAAAGUUGGUUCAAUUAAUCAUUGUGCCUAGAGUUGUAAACAUUCUUGGCUUGUUAGUUUCAAAUGAUCUUGGUUCAAUCCUAAGUGACUGGCUUUUAUCAAGUUAGCAUUUUCAUCUCUUUUGAAGGGAAAGAUAAUGAAGAAAUCAAGGUUUUUUCAAAGUCAGUGGUUACAUUUUUUGAGGAAUUCUAAAAUAAUAUUUCUAUAUAUCAUAGUUUACAGUAAUACAAGUUAAGUAUACAUUAUAGUUACCAUAGUAUCAUGGAUUAUCUACUUCAGAAAGCCUUAUAGAAUUGUCAAAUAGAUCAUUAAUCCACCAAGCCAAAAAAAAAGUUAUUUUACCAAGAUCUUAUUAAAAUAAGCUACCAUAAUAAAAAGUAUGUCUCCGUAAAAGUCAAAUCACAAGUUUGAUGUUAUGCCGAGAGGACACUUAGUCUUGAACACCGGCUAGAAUGCCUUGAUCAUAUGUCUGAACUAUGGACUGUUUAUGUUUGGUAUUAUCUUGAUGCGGGCAACCGAUUUCAAUGAAAAAUGUAUAAAAUUUGAAAGCUAUUUUAGAUCUUGGAAAAAAACUUUCAAACCUCUUUACCCUGAUCGUUGAAACAGAUUUGUUCUAGGAAUUCAAACAAAAGUUUAUUUAAAUUUUAUGUGCAGAAAAUCAUUCAAAAUUCCUCCAGAAAUGCAACUACCCACUUUGGAGAAAGUUUUGUAGAAUUGUCAAAUAGAUCAUUGAUCCACCAAGCCAAAGAAAAGUUAUUAUACCAAGAUUUUAUUAAAAUAGGCUAUCAUAGUGAAAGGUAUGUCUCCAUAAAAAUCAAGUCUUCAAUCCGACAUCAUGUCAAGAAGGCACGUAGUCUUGAACAUUGACUAGAAUUCCUUUUCUUUGGUUAGGUGGAUCAGUGAUUUGUUUGACAAUUUUAUAACACUUUCUGAUACAAAGGAUCUACGAUACUGUGAUAAUUGCAAAGCAUACUUAACUUAUAUUACUGUAAAUCAUCAUAUAGAAAAACUGUUUUUUAUUUUUAAAACUAACUACCAAAGAAGGAGAAAGGAAUUACCAAAAAAGAUUAAAGAUUUUAGCUAAACAUAUUUUAUAAAAGAAGAUUUCUUAUAAAAAAGAACUUCUUAAGGAAAUUAUAACAUGUUUCUUUUGGAAAAAGGAGCUAAAAUAUAUACAAGGAAAAAAGUAAGCAAAUAGUAACAUAAUAGGAAAUAAUAAUGACAUAAGGUCCAUUACUAAACAUAAAACAAUUGACUUGACUUAAAGUUACUUUAAUAGACAAAGUCUUAUCAAUCUUCAGAAUAUUAUUUUUAAAAUCCAAUCAAGGAUAAUGACCCUAGAUCGAGAGCUUAGAUACAUGACUGAAAUCAACAUUAGAUUUACUUAUACUUUUAUAAAAAGAGAAAAAGAAAUGAAAAGCCUCAAGAUUCAACUUGUACACCUUUAAAAUCAACUCCGUCAGAAAUAAUAACAAUAACAAACAACUUUCAACUAUAGUAUCUUCACUCCGAUCAAUACUGAUAUGCAUGACAUCUCUUACCAAGCUUACACCUUUUUUCCUUCCCAACCAUAUAACCAUUUUCCAACCUCACCUCCAAAACUUUUUUUCACACCAUUUUAAUACAAAUCUCUUUCCACAAAUAACCUUUCACUACUAGAUGACAUACAGAAUUUAAGAUCAUGUUAUAAGCUUUUUUUCAUUUUUAAAUUAAGCAUCUGAUUAAAAGUUAACAUAUCUAGUUCUACGAGAAAAUGGUAUCCAAUGGGUGAAAUUCAAAUAUUUGGAUUCCAUACUUAAUAGCUAAAAUCUCUUUUUGCAUAGAGUGAUAAUGAAAUUUUAAAUUUUUGAAUCUACCAUUUUUGUAUCCACAUAUUUGUUUGGUUUCAUUUUUUUUAUAAGGAUUGUCGACCAAAAUUUAUCACUUACGUCUGUUUACAAUAUCUUUUUUUCAUCUAAAGAAAUCUUUAAAGUUGAAAGUGAUAGCGCUCUUAUCUUUAGCAUCUGUACUGACUUUGUUUGUUUUUUAGACCAGUUGGGUGGUUCUUUCUUCAGUAUCUGUCUGAGAUGAUGAGUUUUUUAUGCAAAAUCUAAGAGAAAUUCACUCAUGUAGUUAACUACAUCAAAAAAUUAUUGUACUUGCUUCUUGGAGAGAUUUUCAUCAGAAAACUUUUCUUUGGCUGGGUGAAUCGAUGAUCUGUUUGAUAAUUCUACAACUUGACUUGAAAAUGACUUAAAGUUGACAUAAAGUUGACACUAAAGUUGUGGGGAUCGGUUGCCUCUAUCACGAUAAUACCAAACAUAAGUAAUCCAUAGUUUAAAAAUAUAACCGAGGUAUUCUAGCCGAUGUUCAAAACUAAGUGCCCUAUUGGCAUGACGUCAAAUUGGUGGCCUAACUUUUAUAGAGACAUGCCUUUCACUAUGGUAGCCUAUUUCAAUAAGAUCUUGGUACAAUAAUUUUUCUUUGGCUGGGUGGAUCAAUAAUCUGUUUGAUAGUUUUAUAAGGGUUUCUGAUACAGAGGAUCCAUAAUACUGUGAUAACUAUAAAGCAUAUUUAACUUGUAUUACUACAAACUAUAAUAUAGAAAAAUUAUUUUCGAUUCUUAAAACUAAAAACUGAAGAAGAAAGAAGGAAUUACCAAAAGAUAAGAGAGAUUUUAGCCAAAUAUAUUUUAUAAAAGAAGAUUUCUUACAAAGGAGAACUUCUUAAGGAAGUUAUGAAUUCCCUUGUUCCUUCUAAGAGAAUGAGCUACAAUUUAUGCAAGGAAGAUUUAACUCUGCAAGUUAAAUCUUGAGGUUUUUCAUUUUUUUCUCUUUCUGUGAAAGCGUAAUUUAGCAAUGUAUUUAAACUCUCAAUCUAGAGUCAUUAUCUUAAUUGGAUUUCAAGAACCCAAAAAGUCAAAAGCUGAAAAAGCUUUUUAUGAGAAAGAAAUUAACCCUCAUAAUUAAAAACAAAAAGAGAAAAACUAGUUUCAAUCAUGUGGUGGACAGCUUGUUUACUCUUGGAUCUCAUAACAUUAUAAAAAUGUGCCAUGGCACUGCUUCUUCUUGCACUUUUGCAUAUUCAAGCCAACAAAGCAACAAUUCUAGUGCUUCAGAAUAUGAAGGUAAGCCACUCAUUUUCUUUUCAUGGCUGCGUUGUAUAUCGUCCCUUGCAAUAUUAUACUUGUUUCAUCCAGUUGAUUUCUCUGCUGUUCGGAUUUAGAACAUGAUAUUUCAUUAAUUUGAUGGUGCAGCAAAAGAUUGUUAUUCAGGUGUCAAUGCCCUGUGACAAAUGCCGGACGAAGGCCCUCAAGAUUGCUGCUGCAGCACAUGGUAUAUACGUUUUAGUUAGGCCUAAAAAUUUUUCUCUGUCAUAUUUAAAAUUAUCGAAUCUCGUUUUAAUCUACCAACUUUUAAUUUAUCUGAACAUAUUAAUUCAACAAAAGAAAUUAAUUUCUCCAAGGACUGAUGUUUUGAACUUUUUUUUUUCUUUGCUUAAUGGCAUAGGUGUGAUAUCAGUGGCAUUACACGGUGCAGAGAAAGACAAAUUGAUGAUUGUUGGAGAUGGGGUUGAUGCAGUCUGCUUGACUAGUUCCUUGAGGAAAAAGUUUUGCCAUGCAAGCUUGGAGACAGUGGAAGAAGUGAAAGACAAAAAAGUUGAAGAUCAGAAGAAAGAUGAAGAUAAGAAAACUCCAAUCGUAUGCUGUCCACAACCUCAGCUGGAAUUUUUUACCGUGGUGCAUGAUCCCUAUCCAAGCCCUUGCACUAUAUUGUGAUAAUAAUAGAAUAGAAUCCGGUGGAAUCCGAAACUUAAAUCGGUUGAUUCAUGACAUUCAACAGAUUUAUAUUCAGCAAGUUUAUAAUUUAAAUGUUAAUACUUGUAACUUCUUUCUAUAAUUCUAGAUCGUGGUGUUUUUAUUUAAAAAAAAAAAAAUAGAUCCAAUGGUAUCAUAACAUCAUUUUUUAUAUAUUUUGAUUAAAAUUUUAAUUAAUUUAAUUUUUGAAAUGAAUUAAUUAAAAAUCAAAAUUCUUUUAAAAUUAUUUUCAUUAAAUGAUUGAAAUUAAUUUAAUAAAUAAAUAAUUUAAUUAAUUAAUAAUUAAUUUAAUAAAUAAAUAAUUUAAUUUGGUUUUUUCUUCAUAUAUGAGAAGUGAUGGCUUAGGCUCUACUCAGUGUGUUAAACUGAAGAACACGCUACUGGAGAGUCCAAAGUCAUGAUGCUCGACUUGGAGGCACAGCAAGAUUAAUCCCCUUGCAACCUUUCACUUUCGGAGUACGGAAAUAGGACUCAAAAAGUAAAACACUUUUUCUGCAGGAAACAUCAUCCAUAUACGCUCUUAUCGGGAAUUAAAUGUUGUAAUUUGUAACCGCAUAUCGGUUUCUUGUUACAAACAUGGACUCAUGUCUAGUUACAUCAACGGAUAAGAUGCUCUUUAUUUUUGAGAUCACAUUUGAAUUUGAUUAUUUCUUAAAAUGUUUCUUUAAAUUGUUAAGGAUAUUUUAAUGUUUAAAAGGCAAAAUAACUUUUUUUAGUAUGGAUGAGCAAAAGUAAAAGUAAUAUGAAUUUAUGGGUUCAUCCCAAUAAUUUACAUACUAAUAUUUUAAGAAAUUAACUUAUCAUAUUUUGAGUGAAUAAUUAACGAUUAAUUCAAGUCAAAGACAAAUUUUAAUAUUUUAAAACUAACCACAAGUAAAUUAUACUCAAAAUCUCUGAUCUCACAAAUAUAGAUAGCACUAUUUAAGUAUGAUUAAUUCAUUUAAUUUUUUUUAAGGAUAAUUUUUUUUUUAUUUUAUUUUUAUAUUGAUCUCUGAUUUAAGUAUCGAAAUAUAAACAAUGAGAUCAUUCUUAAUUUUUAUUGUUAAUUAUUUUUAUUUAAUUUUUAUCAUUUUAAUUUUUAAUCGGAUCGGGAAAUUAUAAGAGAGUACCAAGGCCAUCUCAACUCACGCCAGGGUGCCAAAUUACACACUACAUAAUUCUUAUGUUUGAUAGUUUGGAAAGACUAGUUGAUAAAUGAAACUUUGAAUUUAUUGCAAUGAAUUAUUGAUCAAAAGAAAAGUUAUACAUUUAUUACAAUUGAAAUAAAUUUUCUAAAGAUACUUUUCUUUAGUCUCCAAACUUUUAAUUUAAUAAUUAAAGGCGUUUGAAAAAAUAUCAAAAAAUUAAUUUCAAACUUACGCUCUCUUGAUGUAACAAAAGAAAAACUUCACGUUAGAUUCAUAUAAGGUUAGCUAUAAGGCCAUUUUGACAUCUUUUGGAUUGAAAAUUGAGAUAAGAUCGGAUCAAAGUGAGUCUAUAAAAUGUCACUAAUCUAACAUCUACAAGAGAAUGUGUUGAUUUUAGGCUUUAUAAAUCAUGAGUCUUCUUCAGCCUGAUAAACGUAAUAAUCAUUUUUUUUAGAUUGGAAAUGUGGACCCAUAACACAAAUACAAUCAAAGCCGACCAUUGACUUGCUUUAAAUUCAGCAAUUAAAAAGCUCUUUAGACCACUUUGGCUCACACUCGCCAAAACUAAACCAACAGACGAGGUAAAAGUUAACACAAUUUGAAAAACUCAAACGAUCGAUCCAAAUUUAAAUUUAAUCGAUUUAAUUUGAUUAAAAAUUUAAUAAUUUGGAUUUGUUUUGAUUCCAAUUUGAAUUAUUCCAAAUUUUAAUUAACGGAAUUCAAUUGGAAAUGAAUUCAAAUUGAUUCAUUAUCAAAUUGAUCCGAUUUAAAUUAAUUCAACUCAAAAUAAUCUAAUCUUUAAUUUUGAACUAACAAUAAAUAUUUAAAUGUUGUAAUUAAUGGUCAAACUAGUAUAUUAUGUAAUAAUAUAAUUCUUUUCUAGUAACAUGAGAGUUACGUAUCAACAGUUAAGUAAUCAAUAUAAAAUUUAUAUUUAAUACAUUAUCAGUAUAUAGAUAUUAUAUAUUAUCAAUAAAUCAUAUAAUAACAUUUCAUUAAAAAUUAAUUUUAAAAUUUUAAAAUCCUAAAAAUAAAUAUACUUAAUUCUAAAAAUAUAUUUUAAAAUAAUUUCUUUAAAGAUGUGUCAUUAUGCAGUUCAUUCAUAGUUAUAGCAUAAUACAUUAACAAUAUAUCAAAUAUAAAUCCUUCAAAAUAUCAACAAUAUUAUCUUUAACAUCAUCAUACUUUUUAGUGAUUACAAUAAUAAUAAGUCUUCUUAAAAUUAUUUAAUUAUUUUUCUAUUUUCAAUUCGUUAUUAAUAAAUAACAUGGACAAAUAUGAUUUUAUAAAAUCAUUAAUAAAUUUUUUAUUAUAAAUAAAUUUAAUUUUAUAUUUAACAUAGCAUAGUUUUAUAUUAUUAACAAAUUAUCUUUAAAUCAUUUAAUUUUGACAUUUUAAUUUUUAUAUAAUUUAAUUGUAUUUAUUUGAUUUUAAAAAUUAAUAAACUGAACAUGAAUAAUCUAAAUGUUAAACUCCAAUGAUUCAAAGAUAAAACUUAAAAAACUCGAAAAUUAAAUGAUCUAAAACCAAAAUUAUUUGAAUCAAAAUUAAUCAGAAAUUGAAUCGAUUCGAACUUAAAUUCUCAUAACCCAAAAUAACUUAAUUUUUUAAUCCCAAACCUGAAAUAAUGAAAAAUUUUCUUAAGCCAAACUCAAAAUAAUAAAAUAUUUUACCUAAAAUGAUCCACUCAAAAUAACCUAAUAUAAAUCCGAACCCAUUUGUCACCCCUUGUAAACCGAUUAACAACGGCUUUUCUUUACUCAAAACUGUUUACCGACCCAUCGUAGCUAGUUUACUAUAGCUUUUUGUUUUGUUUUGUUUUGUUUUUUUCCUUUGUCCAAUGGUGACGUAUCCACUACCCCUUGGGGAAGGCCGGUUUAGUCCAAGCAUGCAGGGCAGCCUACUAAAAAACGAAGCAUUACCACUCUGCCAGGAAGCUAAGCGUUAUCGUGAAUUUAUACUAAAAAAUCAUGAAGUCUAUUAUCAAUAUUUUUAAUUAUAUGUGAUUAAUUUGCUAUGUAUAUUUAUCUUUUUAAAGAUUAUUUUAAGUGUAAAUUAAAUUUUUUAAAAAAAAUAAAUUUUGAUUUACAUUAAUAGAAUUAAAUUUGAGAAUUGAUUAAGUGUAAGAAAAAUUUUAACAUUUUUUUAUAUACAAAAUUAAUUAUGUAUUAUUUUACUUAAACUUUAAUCAAAAAUAAAUUUUUAUUAUGCAAAUUAAUCAAUUCAAAAUUUUUUAUUUAUUAACACAACAUUAUCAUGUAAAAAAUUUUAUAAAAAAUAUCACAUAAUCAUGCAAAUUUCAUAAAUAUUAUGUCAAUAUAGAAAUCAUAUAAAAAAUUAUGCCAAGAUACCAUGUAAUAAAUUAAAUUCAUACCAAAAUUAUUAUGCAAUAUCAUAUAAUAAUAUAAAAUAUCAUGUAAAAAUUAUAAGUAUAAAAUCAUCAUGCGAAUAUCAAUACCAUGCAAAUAUAAAUCACAUAAAUAUAAAUAAUCAUGUAAUUAAAUUAAUAAAUUAUGUAAGGAAAUUAAAUUCAAACAAAUAAAUAACAUAAAUAUAAAAAAAUUUGGAAUUCUCUUUUUUUUUUUAAUUAAUAUAAGUAAAAUAAUAAAAUAAACAAAAUAAACAGAUUAGACAAGAGGAAAAAAAAAAAAAAAAAACCCGUAACUGCCGUUGGCGGCUCGGGUUUAAAACAGAUUCGUGCGCGGGUUGCAUGGGUUGCAAUUGAUUGUGCAGGAUGGCUGGAAAUUGAAUUUGCUUGUCUCUCUGUUUUGCCUUCUUGCACUGCUGCUUCUGUCUCUGCAAAUUGCUUUUGAAAACUGGGCUUGUUGCUUACUGUGUUGAUAAUUUUUUGAUGUUUGAUGAUGAACUUCUUGCCGUGAUUUGCAGAAAAUUGGAUUCUUGUCUGGAUGCUUUCUGCUUCUUGCUUCUUCUGUGUUUGUUGCUUGACGCCUCUCUGUAUUGCUUGAUUGAGUUUUCUAGAUUGCUUCUGUAUCACUUGAGCUUGUUUUGCCAAAUUGCUCCUCGUCUCAGUUAAUUGCUUCCUUCUUUGAUUCUGCUUGAUUGUUCCUCAAUGGGCCUCUGUUUGAUCUUCAUUUGCUACCGUCCGGCCCCCCUGUGAUUGCAGAUUGGAAGUUGUUUUAUAGGGAUAAAUUCUACUUCAAUUUGAAACAAAUUUUAACGCUUACCGAAUCUCCAAGAUUUUUUCUGUGACUUUCCCUUUUUUUUUGCAUGAAUUGAAGUUUAAGAAUUUUCCUAUCUGAUUAAUCAAUAAAAUUCAAAAUACCAAAACCGAAUAUAAGAUCAUCCCUUUUGCAAAAUCCCUUUCUUUUUCCCUUAUUUUUUGUUUGACUUUAUGACGUUGACCAAAAGUCAAAUAAAAUAAAAUCAAAAUCAAAAUCAAAAUUAUUAUCAAAAUCAAAGUCAAAAUUACAAUCAAAAUUAAUGAGUUUUUAAUCUUUGAAUCCAAAAUUUAUUUUUUGAUUUAAAGUUCACUUACAUAAUCAAAUCAAAAAUUGAAGUUUAACGAAUUUUGAAAAAAUUUAGAAUAAAAUGAAAUGUCCACACUUCAAUUCAAUAAGCAUAACAUAUGAUACAGAUAAAAUAAGAAACUAAUAAGCUUACAACAUAUUGCAAAAUAUUACAACACAUUCCAAAUGUAUACGUGCGUGCAAUCUAUUGAUUCAGUUUAAAGAACUGAAAACUGAUUCAAUCAAUCUUUUUUAUUAAAUAAAUGAACUGAUUGACCUAUUUUUAAUAAUCGAUAAUAAUUGAAUCGAUAUAAAAUUGCCCGGUUCAAUCCAAAAAACCCUUUUUCUUAACCAUAUUUUGCCACAAUGUUCUAAUUUUCACCCAAUGAGACAAUAUAACAAUUCCCACGAUUUUCAAUAAACUUAAAAUCAGUGCUAGUAAUCAAGCACACAUUACAGUUUGGUUGCAUUAUUCUUGUUGAGGUCUUUACAAAUAGAUGCGUUGGAGGAAAGCAUAUUUUGCUUUCCCAGUGACGAUCAAAAUGGGCUCUGAACGUCUGAACUUAAAAAUUGGAGAUUGGUAUAGAACAUUGAGUACCGAAAACAAAUCAUUGUGUUUAAUGAAUCUACCUAAUAUCCUCAGGAGACUCUAUAGCUAUCAGGCUGUCUUUGCAACCUGAGGCAGCGUUUUCAGAAGGGACAUGGAAGGCCUUCUUACAGUGUGAUUGAGCAGGAGCAUGAGUGUCAAAACGGUUAAGGCUCCUGCCUGAUGUGCAGUGCCAAGUGAAACAGGUACAUAUGAUAGAAGUGUUGAUACACCUAAGGUUACCUACAACAAUGAAAAAUAGAAUAUACAGAGUUAAUAAUCUGAACUAUUAAAGGAAAAACUCGAUUUGCGAAGAUCCUACUUUUGUUUAAACGAAAGAGAUUUGAAAACUACCAAGAGCCGUGUGAUUUGUUGGUAGAGUGCUGGACUCUUAGUUCUAGUGACAAGGUUCAAAUCCUGAUAACCUCGAGUAUAAGACAUAAAAACCUAGGGCAAAGCAAUCACCUGAAGAGCAGCCAUUCCAAAUGUGCUUCCAACCAAAGAUCGAAUAGCCGGAUGGAUGUCCAACUUUCUGGUUGACCACCACAAAGCACAAAUAGAAAUUAAAGUGGUAGUCGCAAGGAUACGGUGGUCAAGAUGUGAAAAGCAAAACAGAUUUGAUAUGUUAUUGAAAAAGUUGUUUCUCAUUAUUGUGAAGAUAUAGUUAUCACUUACUAGAAGGGACAAUAGCCUUGUGAAAUUGAAGUUGUAUGCAUAAUCAUUAUGUUCAUGUAAUUUAAAGCAAUGGCAAAUCUUAAUGCAUGUUAACUUACACACCAAUGGGUAAUUGAUUUCUCAGAAAGUGGCUGUUAUACCUGAUCCAUGGUGGCUUCUGUUAAUGGAAUCUAACUUUAAAAGGGCAUUUAUAAAUAUCUAAAGAGAUAUCUAUAUAUAGGGGAGCAUCUUCUUUAAGUAACUUUACAGAACUAGAAAGCAUUAUUGUGUUCAACCAAAAGGUUAUCACUCCGAACAUGAAGCAAUCAAUGAGAAAAUGAACAAGAGGAACAAAAUCAAAUUUUAUGUGACAAUUCCAGCUUUAUAAAUAUACUCUUUAACAAAUUAUCCUCUAUAAAUUAACUAAUGCCUUUGGUUAAUUCAAUUCCCCUUUUCUAAGCAAUCAUAAGAGCAACUAAUGCAAUCACCUGGAAGAUCAUGAAGUCCACUUGCUUAUACAGUGUAAGAGGUAAUAUUAGUGAGGACAAAUUACCUGCACUGUCGAUGUAUUCUCGAAGAAGUUACGGAUUAGUGGCUUCAACUCAAAUAUAUCAUCAGGAAUCCAUGAAUCUCCCAUCUUUGGAAAAGUAUUGUAUGCAUGGCCCUAGAAAUUAAUUUAAUGAUUUAAAUUAAAAGAAAAUCAUUAAUAAAGAAUAUGCCUUCAAAGAACUGAAAAGAAUAGUACGUCUCCACGCUGAUUAGCAAUGUUAGUUAAACAUAUAAUAGCAGUUAUAACAACUAAUUAAUUAUCGCAAGUUAUGGCAGUAAAAUCUAAGUCAUGAGAACAAGUUUACCUAGGGCUGCAAAGUAUAAUUACUUGGAAGUGAAACUACUAUUAUGCAACCAAUAUAUGUGACAUUUUCCUUAUACCGCUUAUAUUCAGGUGACUGCUUGUAUUUCUCAAACUAUUGCUGCCACUCCUCAUCUGAUAGAGGAGGAAGGCUCCCAGUGAAUUUCCAAUCAGUCAUAGAAAGACCAGAUCGGGUCAGUCUUGUGACACCACCUAGAAACACCAUACUAAAAACCCAUGCAGCAGAACCAAAAAGCCAUAUUCCCACCAUUUUCUGAGCACAUGGGUGUGCAGUUACUAGUAGCUUCAAUCCCUCCUUCUCUGAGCCAACAGAGGCCACAGUGGACAUAUUCCUGAAGGACGGCACGUGAUGGCCCUGAAAUGAAUAAAAGAAGUUCCUUUUAGUCACAUUCACAUAACAGUUGGAGCAUAUCACCAAUGUUCUUUUGGAUAAUUUUAAGAGAAAAUCUACAGCAGAAACAACUUUCUUUCCUUCAAUGUUGAAACCGGACUCUGAAGCAUCAUUUUCACCUUGAAAUGCUUAAGCACUCCACAAGUGACAGGAUUGCUUAAAAUCCCCAGCCACUUUCGGCAAUAUUCUUUAAAUGGGAACCAUAGAGUGCAUAUUUAGUGACAGAAUAAGUCAAAGACUAUUUCCAAGUGCUAUCAUCUAAUUGACAUUUUGGUUUUAUAAUGACUGUUUCUAAUUUAAAUGAAUUCUCAUCAUUCAUCCCACACUCCGAAAGCUUUAUGCAAACAAAAGCUAAAUGGGAUGAUCCAAGUCACUUGGUUUUCCACCCAGCACAGACAGAUCCACAUAUAUAGAUAGGGUGUCCAUGGACACUCCAAAGAUUGGAAAAUAAGAAAAUUUGAAAACAAAAUUACACUAAACACCCCAAAAUUUUCCCCUAGACACCCUUUUAAGUCAAUAAAAUUGGUAAACCCAUCCAUAGCUUUUAUUAUAUAUAUAUAUAUAUUAUAAAUGAACCCCAAAAAAAAUCCUGAUCCGCCAUUGCCACCAAGACCACAAUAUAUCAGUAACUGCGUGAACAAAUGAACAAAAAUUUUAUUUGCUCAACAAUAAAUUUCGAAUCUUUUACCAUAAACAACAAAAGAAAUAGUACAAGACAGUAAACAAUUCAAGUCAAUCACAUCCAUUUUCAUGAAACCACAAAAAGAAAAAAAAGGAUACCCAUUUCAAUAAAGCGAAUAAAGAAUCGAAAUUGUUAAAGAAAAGAACCCUAGGCAGAGAUCUGAAGCCAUAAAAGGAGCUCCUUGCAACUGUAUUAGUAGCAGAAGAAGAAGAAACAAAAACACGAGAGGAAGACGUUCCCUUGAGAUUGGAUGUUAAGCCAUUGAGUAUAGCUUUGUUUCUCUUUAGAAUAGAAGCAACCACUCUGCUUUGAAACAUUUCUCUCGCUGUCUGUUCAACUCUUAAACCUGUGGGUUCCUGUGGGUUUACGGAGGAUUUUUGACAAACUAGUGAACCUUGAUGGGUCAUUUCAGUACCGGGUUUGGAGGAUCCGUUUUAAUGUUUGUUUUGUUGUUCUCAAAACGGGUGCUAGUUAACGUACGUUACUUUUUUUUUUUUUUGGGUAAAAAAAAUUUAAAAUAGAUAGAUUAUUCAAUUUUUAUAUCAAAGUAUGAUAUAUCGUAUUUAAUAAUUUAAAAUAAAUAAUUAUAGGUUGUACAUUUGAGAUGACUCUUAAUAAGUGAUCAUCGCCAAAACUUGAAUUCAAAACAUUUUCAUUAAAGAAUAUGAUUUUAAUUGAUUGAAUCAAUUACUUAUUGAUAACAUAUUUUACUUUAUUUGUAACUUAAAUCGUGGGACUAUUUCUAUGAGGGUAAUAAUAAUUUAAUCGAAUAUUAUAAUAUUAUAAAAUUUUAAAAUUUAAUUUAAAUUUAAAUUAAUUUUUCAUUAAAUUUAAUUUGAAAAGAAUUCAAUUUAAUUUGAUUUAUUGAUUUUUAAAAUUUAAUUUUUAAUUUUUUUAUAUAUUAUUUUAAUAUACAAAAUUUAAUAUAUUUAAAUAAUUUUAAUAUAAAAUUAUUAUUUUAAUUUUAUAAAAAUUUAAAAUAUAUAUAAUUAAUAAAAAUAUAUAAUUCAAUUUAUUUUUUUAAUUUUUAUCUAAAAUUUAAUCCAAACUUAAUAUAUAUAUAUAUAAUAUAUAUAUAUAUUUAAUAUUCAAAUUUAAUCCGAAUAAAAGAAAAAAAAAACUAAUCUUAACUGAAUUUUACCAUUUCAAAUCAUCAUGUAUUGUAUAAGAUUAUUAGAUUUAAUUUCAGGCAAUUGGUUGUUUAAUCUGCAAGUGUUAUUGAAUGAACUAAGAAGCUAGAAACUAGAACAAAAUGCUCUUAGUGGGAUCAAUUAAAAUUUACACAGUGGCCAGCUCAAUGGCAACCUGCCAUUGUUUCUUUUUAAAGGACCUCUUUGGCAUGUCAUUAUUACAUUAAGACAUGGGCUCCUCCAUGAACAAAUAAUUUGUGACCUCCUAUGGUCCUACUAGCAAGUGCAAAACAAGAACCAGUUCUGAUCACAGCUCAAUGGUUAUGCUCCAAAGAUACAACUCUUCCUCAGGAACUCCCAAAGAAAGGGUCACCAAACCAGAUCCAUCAUCAUAUUCAAAACCAGUUUCUUCUGAGUCGACCGUUAUUCUCUUCGGAUGAGUAGAUGAAUAGGCUCCAAACAGGUCACACCCUCGAACUUUCAUGUCGAUGGCUGCACUUCUGCCAGAUUGAUAUGUUAAUUCCUUGAUGGCUCCUCCUGAAUUGAACAUCUUGAUCAGACCAAUGGGAGCAAAUUUAGUCCCAUUGGAUAAUAACUUUACAGGUAUCACUGUGAAAACUUCAUAUUCUCGUGCCUUCAAUGUGAUUGGCAUAGUUGCAUUAUUUGGAAGGAAGAUCACUUCUCCUGCAUUUCGAAUCAGAAAAAAUUCUUCAGGAAAACUGACCCGAAAUUUAAUUUAGUUGGUUUAUGUGAUCGGCACUUAACAGGUACGGGAUUCAAAUCCCUAUACCUUCCUAAGUCGUGCAUAAUUUAGAGUGGCUGUUAAGGAAAAUAAAAUUAGCAUGCUAGACAUACCAGCAAGAUGGGAAUAUAUGAUAGAAUCUCCGUUCCAUCCAUCACCAGCAACUUUAGGCAAAUAAUCAACAUCUUUAGCCUUGAUAUAUCCUGUAAUUGUUCCAGGCUGUAGGUCAUGAAUCAUAUUCGUCUUUCCAACCCUACACCACCCUGCUCCCUGGCAGUUGAAUACACCCAUGACUCCAGUGAACUCAUUCAGAUUCCAAAUCUUUAGAAGACUGCAGUAGAAAUGAAGAGUAUCAUGAGCAUGAAAUCUUUGCUGUUUUUCUCUUUGGGUUAAAGGAGUGGUGUAUUCCAGAAUCAAGAAUCAAAUAUAACCACUAUUUUUUUGGAUUAAUGUCUCCAACGACGCUUAAACUAUAGUGAAAUAUUCAACAUAGUCUAAUAUGGUAUUCAUUUCUAACGUAAUUAGCUUUAAAUGAUGACUAAUGACUAACAAACAGCCUUCCAAAUAUCACAUUAAUUAACAGAUUUAUAGUUCAAAUAUCAUAUUAGAUAUUUUUGAAGUUUAAAAACCACAUAGAACAUGUUACUACAAUUCAAGGGCUUUUGGAAACAUUAACCAUUUUUUUUCUUUUCUGACCUUUUCCCAUCUCUGGCUGGAUCAGUGAACAAGCAAUCCCUUGUAGGUCUUCCCGGAAGUUUGGCUCUCAAUAUAGAACCAUCCGGAAGCACAAGCUUCCUGAGUAGUUUAAAGUCAUGUUGCCCAGGUUUGUCACUGUAAUAAUACAGCACUCAAAAUGAGAAAUCAUAUGUUAAAUUUACAACUCUCAAGACUAAAUGACACAAAAUUGUACCUGACAUAGAUAGCACAUCCUCCAACAGCACGAGCUGCUCCGUGGUAUUCAGCCAUCGGAUGCAAGCUCUGUCACCAAAAUCAUUCCUGAGUUAACAUUGACAGUUCAAGAAGUAAAUAUCAAAUAUUAGAAAUAGACUAAAUCUGCUAACUUACAUGAAACAUAUCCCAAUCUGGUUGCAUGAAUUCCCCAAGAAAAACAGUAUUAUAUGCAACUGAUGCAAUGUGGAUCGUGUGGGAUGCUGGAUCUCUUGGCCAGAAAUCAUCUGAUGCCCGAAUUACAGCUGUUCGUUUUGCACUGCACAAAUAAAUCAUAUGUCAGACCAAGUUCAGGCUCUCAGCUGGAUUUGGACAUGAAAGAUGGAGUUUACCUGUAUAAACCAUCUGUAUUAUGACUCAUACAAGAGAUGAUAUCAUUGUUACGGAAGUUCCUAGCAAUGGAUGCCUCUAAAGCCUGAUGGUAUCUUCUAGCAAGUUUCACUCUUCCACCAUGGCCUGCCCCAAGAGUUUCAAGGAUGUUCUGAACAUCAACUUUGACUCCAUCGAUACCAGCUGAUGCAAGGUACGAGUGAAGUUCAUCAUAGAAGUUAAACACUUUUUCAGGGUUAACGAGGCCAAGGCCAUUCUUAAUUAUGCUGUCCAAAGCUUGAUCAGGCUCAUUUGACUGAACUCCAGGAGAUGAA
rnacentral:lncRNA from 1 species